rnacentral:rRNA from 1 species
UAGGGAAUAUUGGACAAUGGGUGAGAGCCUGAUCCAGCCAUGCCGCGUGCAGGAAGAAGGCGUUAUGCGUUGUAAACUGCUUUUUGCCAGGGGAUAAAAAGACCGUGCGCGGUUAAUUGAAGGUACCUGGUGAAUAAGCCACGGCUAACUACGUGCCAGCAGCCGCGGUAAUACGUAGGUGGCAAGCGUUGUCCGGAUUUAUUGGGUUUAAAGGGUGCGUAGGUGGCCCUGUAAGUCAGUGGUGAAAUAUCUCAGCUUAACUGAGAGGGUGCCAUUGAUACUGCAGGGCUUGAGUACAGAUGAGGUAGGCGGAAUUGACGGUGUAGCGGUGAAAUGCGUAGAGAUGUGGAGGAACACCGAUGGCGAAGGCAGCCCCCUGGGUUAACACUGACGCUCAUGCACGAAAGCGUGGGGAGCAAACAGGAUUAGAUACCCGGGUAGUCCCUGAGCGGGCUGGCAAGGCGCAU